rnacentral:misc_RNA from 1 species
UCUCCGUAGGUGAACCUGCGGAGGGAUCAUUACAGAGUUCAUGCACUAACGAGUCUAUCUCCCACCCUAUGUUAUUAUUACUUUGUUGCUUUCGCGCGCCGUUAGCCUCCGGCCCGACUACCGACCCCGGCUGGUAAGCGCCCGCCCAACGACCCAAACCACUGGAUAUUAGAAUAGUCUGAAUACUGGAUAAUAUUUAAAACUUUCAACAACAGAACUCUUGGUUCUGGCAUCGCUGAAGAACGCAGCAGAGUCGAAGUCCACAAGUCUGAACUCCAG